GCCCCAGUAGCUCAGUCGGCAGAGCACCUGCCUUUUAAGCAGGGUGUCCGGGGUUCGAAUCCCCGCUGGAGCACCA
rnacentral:tRNA from 1 species